rnacentral:rRNA from 1 species
UACGGAGGAUGCGAGCGUUAUCCGGAUUUAUUGGGUUUAAAGGGUGCGCAGGCGGCCUGUUAAGUCAGCGGUAAAAGCCCGGGGCUCAACCCCGGCGAGCCGUUGAAACUGGCGGGCUGGAGUUGGAGAGAAGUACGCGGAAUGCGCGGUGUAGCGGUAAAAUGCGUAGAUAUAUGGAAGAACACCAGUGGCGAAGGCGGCCGCCUGGCCUGUUGCUGACGCUGAGGCACGAAAGCGUGGGGAGCAAAUAGG